rnacentral:tRNA from 1 species
CAAAAUGUAGCUUAAAUAAAGCCUCUUGCUUACACCAAGAAAAUACCUGUGAAACUCAGAUCAUUUUGA